UGUGCCGCGUUCAGGGCGGAGAUGGCAGCAGUGACUGCACGCUGCGGGGCUGUGCUGGGGCCCCAGCCGGGCUCCCCAGGCCGGCUGUGCUGAGGACAAAGGGCACAGAAGGGUCUGUGGCAGCCCUGGGGAAUGUUCCGUGUUAUUGCUCUUUAGGGUUUUUACUGGGACUCGCAGAGCAGCCCUGGUAGUCUGGAGUAUGUGAGAUGCUAUGGGUGUUGCACAUCCUGUUGUAUUCAUUGUCUCCACACAUCUUGCAAUCUACAGAUCACUGUAUUUUGCUUUAAAUAAGUUACAAUCUCAAAAUGUCACUUUUAAGAGAGUGAUCAGUAUGUAUAUUUAUUACUGGGACCUUACAUAAAGCUCAGUCCUCAGCCCAGUGCUAUAUUUAAUUAACAACCUCAUGAAAGCGUUUCUCUGACGUGUAUUUUGUUAGUGUUGCCUUCCAGGUGAUUCCUGGCACAUUCUGAGGUAGCCAGCACAGCAGCCACAGUUACAGCACGGGAUGCAGAACCUUAUGGGAGGCCCUGCAUUUCUGUUUGCAACCUAUAUGUGUGCUUGCUUCCUGCAGGCAUGAAGGCUUCCCUUUCCUUCAAGUUCCCUUUUCCUAACUAUUCAUCAUUUUGUUGAUCUUGUCAUAGCUCUGGGAUCUGGAAGUGAUAUUUUGCUUUAGUUACAGGUUAAAACUUACAGGGCCUGUCCUGCUGGCCCUUCAGAACCUGCAGGAUUUCCAAUUAAACUGGUGGCCUGAAAAUUGCGGUGGAAUAAAAUGCAUGGGAGCAAGCUGGGGAAUGGCCACUGGGGUCAGUGGCUCCAGCCAUCCCAGGAAGUCCUUUCAGUCCUGUGUUUCUAUAUCCAUAACAAUCUUCUGUGCAAACUCUGAGCUUACACUGAAACAUGAACGGGGCAAAAUGGGUUUAACACAGACCCCAAUUGUUUUGAGGGGGUGGGGGCGAAGCAGGCUGGGAGAUUACUUUCCUGUCCUGAGUACAAGGUACCACAUUUGUGCUCCAGGAAGGGAGUGUGUGUCAGAUUUCCAUGGUAAAGGAUGAGAAGGCAGUGUGCAGCCCUUCUUGGGACUGUGUCUGUCUCAUCCUUAGCUGUCAGAUAUAAAAUCCUGUAAUCACUCACAACUUUAUCAGGCUCUCAUUUGAAAGCAGAUGGGAUUUUUGUUCUAUGUCCUUCAUAGUUUGGAAGGGUGUUUUGGGGCCUGAUUGCUGUCAUAACUAGAAAUCUCCAGAUCUCUUGUUGUAUGUCCCACUCCUCUAAGGAUUCCCCCAGGGCUCUGUGUGACAUUCAGAUGAUGUGAGGAAUGCACAGCCCACCCCAAAUAACAGAAAACACAUAGCAGAGCAGCACGGGGGCCCCAUGCUGCUCCCACCCGCCCUGGGUUGAGGGGGAGGUACGUAAUGAGAAGCAUUUGCUGCAGCAGCUAUCUAUAGCCCGCUGUGUUUGGGACGGCCCUGCCUGCCUGACCUCAGAGCUGACGUUAGAGAACCCCAAACGAGAGCUGGGAGUGCUCCAGAGAGCCACAGCCAGGCUACCCUGCCUGGGAGGGACACACAGCACGGCUGAUGGAGAGGGAGAAUGGAUGCUGUUGUCCUCAGAGAUGGGUACUCUGGAUCCACAGGAUGAAGACACUUCAAGUCCAGAGAACUUGGACCAGAGGAUCUGGGGGAAGUAGCAGUGUGCUGAUAUUUAUAGGAUGAAAAUGACAUGUCUUGUGAAAUUUUUUGAUACUACAGUAUUAACCCUGGACAGAAUAGUGGAAGGGUUGGCCAUGUAUUGUCAGAGGGAAUGAUAACUGCCAUUAAUUCUAUAGCCAAUGUACAUUUCCAAGAAUGUUUGGAAUACCACCAGUGGAGGAGGACACUCAUAAGCUCCACAUCGAGGGAUGCCAAUGGCCACCUGCCUUCCUUUUGCUCAGUGGGAGCACUCUUCAUCUUCUCACCAACCACAGAGCUGGGCUACCUGCUGCUUUCCCUAUUUUAAGGACACAUCACCAAAUUUAUCUUUUGUGUCUACAUUCAGUGAUUCUCUGCAUUUUGUGAAUAAACAUGGAUUGUACUCA